UACGUAGGGUGCAAGCGUUAAUCGGAAUUACUGGGCGUAAAGCGUGCGCAGGCGGUUAUGCAAGACAGAGGUGAAAUCCCCGGGCUCAACCUGGGAACUGCCUUUGUGACUGCAUAGCUAGAGUACGGUAGAGGGGGAUGGAAUUCCGCGUGUAGCAGUGAAAUGCGUAGAUAUGCGGAGGAACACCGAUGGCGAAGGCAAUCCCCUGGACCUGUACUGACGCCCAUGCACGAAAGCGUGGGGAGCAAACAGG
rnacentral:rRNA from 1 species